rnacentral:rRNA from 1 species
UACGAAGGGGGCUAGCGUUGCUCGGAAUUACUGGGCGUAAAGGGCGCGUAGGCGGAUAUUUAAGUUGGGGGUGAAAGCCCGGGGCUCAACCUCGGAAUUGCCUUCAAUACUGGAUAUCUUGAGUUCGGGAGAGGUGAGUGGAAUGCCGAGUGUAGAGGUGAAAUUCGUAGAUAUUGCUGGGAACACCCGUGGCGAAAGCGGCUCACUGGGUCCUUUCUGACGCUGAGGCACGAAAGCUAGGGGAGCGAACGGG